AUUGAACGCUGGCGGCAGGCCUAACACAUGCAAGUCGAACGAGUGGCGGACGGGUGAGUAAUGUCUGGGAAACUGCCUGAUGGAGGGGGAUCACUACUGGAAACGGUAGCUAAUACCGCAUACCAUCGGAUGUGCCCAGAUGGGAUGAGCUAGUAGGUGGGGUAAAGGCUCACCUAGGCGACGAUCCCUAGCUGGUCUGAGAGGAUGACCAGCCACACGGGAACUGAGACACGGCCCAGACUCCUACGGGAGGCAGUAGUGGGGAAUAUGGCACAAUGGGCGCAAGCCUGAUGCAGCCAUGCCGCGUGUAUGAAGAAGGCCUUCGGGUUGUAAAGUACUUUCAGCGGGGAGGCGUUACCGUCAGAAGAAGCACCGGCUAACUCCGUGCCAGCAGCCGCGGUAAUAC
rnacentral:rRNA from 1 species